rnacentral:rRNA from 1 species
AGAGAGAGACAUGCGCGCAUAUCAAUAAGCGGAGGAAAAGAAACUAACUAGGAUUCCCUUAGUAACGGCGAGUGAAGCGGGAAGAGCUCAAAUUUGAAAUCUUCAAGGUUUUACCUUGACGAAUUGUAGUUUAAAGAAGUGUUUUCUGCUGAAGUUUUGGUAAAAGUUCUUUGGAAUAGGGACAUCAUAGAGGGUGAGAAUCCCGUAUUUGACCAUUAUUUUCAGCUUUGUGAUACACUUUCAAAGAGUCGGAUUGUUUGGGAAUGCAGUCCAAAAUGGGUGGUAAAUUUCAUCUAAAGCUAAAUAUUGGCGGAGAGACCGAUAGCGAACAAGUACCGUGAGGGAAAGAUGAAAAGAACUUUGAAAAGAGAGUUAAACAGUACGUGAAAUUGUCAAAAGGGAAGCGUUUGACACCAGUGCUGUUUUCUCGAAAAUCAAUUAAAAAUGGCUCGAUUUUGUAUUGCUUGAGACCUUAAAAGCUCACUGUACAUUUUUCGUGUCUUUUUUAAUGCACUUUUCGUUUAACAAGUCAACAUCAGUUUCUUUUGUUGUAAAAGGGUCAUUGGAAGGUGGCUUUCUUUUCGGAGAAAGUGUUUAUAGCCUUUGGCCUCUGCAAUCGGAGAGACUGAGGUCUGCAGCGUAGACUCUUCGGGGUUAGAUACAUUUGUGCUAAGUUAUAGCUUUUUAUAGACAACUUGUUGACUAUAAUUAGUCUUGUAGCUUACUCGCUUAUGCUAUUUUACCUACGCUUAGGAUGUUGAGUCGUAGAGCACGCAG